CGCGGUAAUUUUCAUACUCAUAAUUUGUUAUAUUGGUAAUUUCACUGGUGUUUGCAAUCCUAUUCCCUUCCUUUUCCCGCACAUACCUCAACGCAUUCGUUGGAGCGAGAGGCGACACUAGCGCCCUUGAGUCGUGUGUGCAACAUAACAAACAAAUCAAUGGCUGACAACGCGCGCGAGAGCUCACGUCUCUCUCCGAUACAAAAAUCGAUAUUGAGUGGAAAACUGGUGUGAUUUGUGUUGAACUUUAUUUGUGGCAGUGCUCCUCGUACAAGAAAUCGCCGUAGAAGACAACAGGUACUGUGCUCCUUUCCUUUAGGCAUACUUUCUUGUUUUGUGUCGCCCGCAGUAUGCCGAUUUUUCCGUCGCAUUUGCAAUCACCAGUUUUUCAAAUGUUUCGCAUCUUUACGAACCAUAUUGCGUUUCCCGCGUAACCAUUUGGUCCUGCAUAGCCGGAUUAGUAUUUAGAAUCAGUGUUAGCCAUUCAUUAGGUCGUUUUCGUCAAACCCGCAUUGUUUCGUAGGUACCUACCUUACGCGUCGAAAAGUAAGAUAGGUAUUUCACGUACCUACUUAUUUCGUUGAAUUUCGCUAAACCCGCAAAUAUAGUACACGUACACACGUACUCCGGUGCCUAGGUACCUACUUAGUUGAUAGAUAUCCACGUUCUAGUCGCUUUCAAUACGUAUUUCAUUUAGUUUUCGUAAUUCGUAGGCCGCUAAAAUGGCACUGGUAGAUAAAUCGUUGAAGCUGCUGAUAGCUAAACGUGAUAGAAUAUUCGCUCGCAUGCAAACUAUCGCCGAUAAAAUUAAAAACAUUGAUUCGCAAGAUUCCACUAGGGAAUCCUUCCUGUGUGACCUUGAAACAGUAGAUUCUUUGCGUACAGAUUUCGAAAGUGUGUUGGACGACAUUGCCGCCCUCGAGCUUAAACUAAAUCCUGAUUAUGUUGUCAAUUAUCAAGCACUUUCUUCUUUCGAAGACCUUUUAGGCCGUAUAAAGCGAGCAGGGAAAUCACUGCAAGUUCAGUCGCAUUCCGAGGUCAAAAGGUCACCCCGCUUGCCUCCCAUCGAAAUACCCGAAUUUAACGGAGAUAUUAAAAAUUGGCCUUUAUUCAUAGCUAGUUAUCGUAAUGCCGUACAUAAUAAUAUUUCUCUGACUGAUUGUGAGAAGUUAUAUUAUUUAUUAGGAAAGUUGACAGGCAAGGCUCGUUCAAUAUGCGCGGGUAUUACCCCCUCCGCGGAUAAUUACUCUAUUAUUUUCGAUUCACUUUGCAAAAGGUAUGAGGACAAGCGUCAACAAGCAACUUCAUACUUAGAUCAGUUAUUUGAAUUUAAACUUAUUCCUUCAGGAACCCCUAAUAAUUUAGAAUUAUUUUUAGAUAAAUUCGCUUCGUCUGUAGCUGCGUUGAAAAACCUACAAAUUGAUGACCUCGCUGAUUUUAUUUUGUUUUAUGUCGCUCUUAAAAAACUCGAUUUAGACACGGGUCGUACUUUCGAGUGCACUCGUAAAUUAAAACCUAAUAGUUCUGAAUUUCCGUCUUUUUCCGAAUUGGAUAGUUUUGUUCGUGACCACAUAAAAGUAUUAGAACGUACGUCAUCAUCGGUUGCUCGGGUCACCAACAAUAAAAAACCUGCAGAUCGUAAACCUACUACUACACAUGCCUAUACGUCUAGUUCGGCUGAGUCAUCCGCGUGUAGUCUAUGCGGCGAGCAGCAUGAUUACAUUUAUAAAUGUAGGGUUUUUAAUAGUUACAAACCAGAUCAACGUUUUAAAUUCGUAAAAUCUAAUAACUUAUGUAUAAAUUGUUUAAGUAGUGGUCAUCGUGUUUCCGCAUGUGGGUCGACAUCUACUUGCAAAAAAUGUAAUUCCAAACAUCACACUUUAUUGUGCUUUGAUAGUAAACACGCGGCAAGUAACUCGCCCCAUUCAAACGCGGCUCGCGGGCUGCCACCGGCCGCCGUUGCCGCGGCCGGGCAGCCAGCCGCUGCGCCCGCCAUUUUUACAGCAGCGCCGCUGCCAUCGAGUGUAGCGACCACUACCCCCGCGCCCGCGCCCCCGCGCGCGGACAUCGCGCUGUGUUCGUUAUCCGAAAAUCAUACCGAGAGUAAACAUCGGGGCCCUACUACGGUGCUCAUUGCUACUGCUCGUAUUAUUAUCGUAGAUUCGCAUGGAAAUGAACAUAGUGUUCGUGCAUUGUUAGACAGUGGUUCUCAAAGUAACUUUAUAACUAGUGAUUGUUGUCGACGCUUAGGUUUGAACAUAAAUAAUCGGCCUUCUUGUUCUACCGUAAAGGGAAUAGGGGGUUCGAGUAAAAUGAUUCAGGGUUCCGUAAAUAUUAAAUUUUAUUCUCGUUUCAAUCGUAACAUAAAUUAUUGUUUAGAGUCGUUGGUAGUAGAUAAAAUUACCGAACGUUUGCCGACAGCCACGGUUGAUGCUUCUCUUUUAUAUAAUUUCAAAAACUUACCGUUGGCUGACGAUACAUAUUUUUCAUCAGGCCCGAUUCAGGUUUUAAUCGGCGCUUCGAUUUUCCCGCAUUUGCUCUUGUCGAACAAAGUUCAAGGACAGCCCCCGCAUGCUUCGCCUCUCGCUUUAGAAACUGUCCUUGGCUAUGUAAUUGUAGGUGACGCUCCAGUACGCGUUGAUAGUAAGUCGACUGUAUCGUAUUGUUGUACCACGGACCCGUUGGACUCCGCUGUCCGUAAAUUCUGGGAAAUAGAGGAGGUGGAUGUUCCCUCCAUACUAAGCCCGGACGACACAUUGUGUGAGGAGUUUUAUACCCGCACUACCACUCGGGAUAGUGACGGACGUUACGUAGUUGCUUUACCUUUCAAGGGUGAAGUCGAAUCCCUUGGGAACUCGCGUCAAGUAAGUGAACGUCGGUUUUACUGCUUGGAAAGAAAAAUGCAGGCUUCUCCACAAUUGAAGGUCGCGUAUGACAGUGUCAUCUUCGAAUAUUUAGAAAAGGGUUACAUUUCACCUACAGAUUCUGUCUCUUCGGAAGCUUCGUACUUCAUUCCGCAUCAUGGUGUGAUCCGCGAUGACAAGAUCACUACCAAGCUUCGUGUCGUUCUCGAUGGUAGUUGCAAGACUUCUACCCGCGUUUCGCUUAAUGAUCUCUUGUAUGGUGGUCAAAACCUACAAGGGAACUUGUUUAACAUUAUCGUUAAUUUUCGUUUGUUUUUGAUCGCUCUUUCCGCAGAUAUUCGUCAAAUGUUUCUCAGUAUCGGAAUCCGAGAAUCGGAUCGUCGUUUCCAACGCAUUUUGUAUCGUUUUUCGCCGCAAGAACCUUUAAAGGUUUAUGAGUUCAAUCGUGUCGUUUUUGGACUUAAGUCUAGUCCUUUUCAUGCUCUGCGCACUAUAAAGCAGUUGGCGGAGGAUGAGGGUGAUUCUUACCCUCAAGCUAAGGAAAUUGUAGCUACAGGUCUGUAUAUGGACGAUUUUGUCUAUUCCGUUUCCUCGGAAGACCAAGGCAUUUCCACCGCCUCAGAAAUGAUAGGUCUCAUGAAAGCUGGUCAAUUUGAGUUAGUCAAAUGGACCAGUAAUUCUCAAGUUGUACUAGACUCGAUUCCUCCUUCUCAUCGCUUGCCGGCUGUCAAAGAAUUUGAUGAGUCUGACCAACAUAAAGUACUCGGCUUGUGUUGGUCACCUACUUCAGACCAUUUCAGCAUGAAGGUGAAUACUCCAGCUAACCAUUGUACCAAGCGCACAAUACUGUCGUGUGUCGCUAAAAUAUGGGAUGUCAUGGGAUUCGUCGCGCCUGUCGUCCUGUAUGCUAAACUUCUCAUCAAACAGCUCUGGCUGUGCGAUUGUGAUUGGGAUGAUACUCCACCUGAAGAUAUCGUCAGGCUGUGGACUCGCUUUAAAGAAGAGCUACCAGUGCUCAGUCGUAUAAAAAUCCCACGUCACCUAGGUAUUGUCGCCGAUAGUGUCGUCACUAUCUUAGCUUUCGCGGACGCUAGUGAAAAGGCAUAUGGUGGAGUUAUUUACUUCCAUGUUCAAAACAGCGAUGGUAAUACUGUCAACUUGUUAACUGCUAAAUCGAAAGUCUCUCCUAAGAAGGUAGUUUCUCUCGCUCGUCUUGAGCUAUGUGCUAUACUUGUGCUAGCUCAACUCAUAAAAAAUGUCGUUGUCGCUUGUCAAAACCGCGUUGUUAUUCGUAAUAUAUUCGCAUUUUCGGACUCUACGGUCGCACUCUGUUGGGUACAUUCGUCGCCCCAUCGGUGGAACACCUUUGUGGCUAACAGAGUGUCUAAAAUACAUAAUGACUUAUCUCCACAAAAUUUGUAUCACGUGUCCGGUACAGACAAUCCCGCUGAUUGUCUCUCACGCGGACUCACACCUUCUCAUAUUAUUGAUCAUCCGCUUUGGUUCACUGGUCCUCGUUGGGCUCACUUGGAUGUCUCACAGUGGCCUGUCGUUCCCUUCAAUCCCUCUUCCGUGUCCGAAGCACCUGAAGAGAAGAAACAUUCGUUGCUAGCUACACCAAAUGAAAGAUCUCUCAUUCUUUCUUUGGCCGAUCGUAUUUCGUCUUGGAGUAAAUUACUUCGUGUGGUAAUUUAUAUUUGUCGUUUUACUAAAUUGUUACCUCUUAGAUAUCGCAUGUCAGCGUCGGAUUACGACUUCGCUGAAUUACUCGUUCUUCGCCAACUUCAAACUCAUUAUUUCUCCGCUGAGAUCGUCAGACUCGGGGAAGGCAAGGAUUGUAGUCCUUUUAUUCGACACUUGAAACCGUUCCUCAAAGACGGACUCAUUAGAGUCGGAGGCCGUCUAAGUAACUCUGAUUUGAAUUAUGAUAGGAAGUAUCCCAUCUUGCUUCCAAGUAAGGAUCCAAUUUUAAAUUUGCUUGUCGAAUACCAUCAUAAGGUUAAUUGCCACGCAGGUCCUGAUUUGCUGAUGUCACUCUUACGUCAAAGGUAUUGGAUACUUUCUGCUAGAAACUUAAUUAGAAGUAGAGUACACAAGUGUCUUCCUUGCUUUCGGCUCAGACCAAAGCCAAACUUUCCUGAGAUGGCAGAUCAUCGUUCUUGCCGUGUUGUUCAAUCUGCUAAACCGUUCGUCCACACGGGCACGGAUUAUGCUGGUCCGUUUAAGGUUACCAUGUUUCGUGGUCGAGGUGUUCGUUCCACCAAGGCUUACGUGUGUCUGUUCGUCUGCAUGACUACACGCGCGGUGCACAUAGAACUGGCUGGUGAUCUCAGCACAGCUAGUUUUAUGGACGCUUUUAAACGGUUUCUUUCCAGGCGUGGCCCGGUUAGUAGAAUUUAUUCAGACAACGGGACUAACUACAUAGGCGCUAAACGCAAACUGUCGGAACUUCAUAGAUUUCUUUGCUCGGAACAUCAUAAUACUGAAUUUGGUCAUAUGUUAGCUGAAAAUCGUAUAGAUUGGUCGCUCAAUGUCACCACUGCCAGUCAUUUCGGCGGCAACUGGGAGGCUAAUAUCAAAAGUUUAAAGUCGCAUUUAUAUCGUACUGUAGGAGAUACUGUUCUUUCGUUUGAAGAAUUAAGUACCGUGCUUACCCAAGUCGAGUCUGUAAUGAAUACGAGACCUUUGUGCAGGACACUCUCUAGUGAUCCUUCGGAACCACUUGCUUUAACUCCAGCACACUUUUUGAAUCUUACGCCUUUAAAAUACUUACCGGCGCAAGAAGUAGAGACAAAAUCUAUCGUGACUAGACACCAGUUGUUAGACAAAUUAGUACAAUCGUUUUGGAAGCGCUGGAGAAAUGGAUACCUUCACACAUUGCAAUCGCGUCGUAAAUGGAACACGCCGGUGGAUCCAGUCGUUGUCGGCACGGUCGUCGUUCUUAAAACUGAUAAUUCCCCUCCACUACACUGGCCUUUGGGUGUCGUUGAGGAGGUUUUCCCUGACUCCACCGGGGUGACUCGUGUCGCUCGGGUAAAGACAGCGACUGGAUCCUACUUGCGUCCCGUCGUGCGUCUAUGCCCGUUGCCCAAUCAAUAAAUUUCAAGCUCGUUAUUCAAAACUUUAUUAGUAGUUAGGUAGAUUAGGCAAAAUAGGUACUUAGUUUUCAUUUUGUUAUUUCGUUUCGUAUACUUACGUAGUACAACUAUCGUAUAAAUAAUUUAGUUUCGUAAAUUGCUUCAACUCUUGAAGGCAUCCCUUCAAGCCCGGGGGGAAUGGUUGCGCGGUAAUUUUCAUACUCAUAAUUUGUUAUAUUGGUAAUUUCACUGGUGUUUGCAAUCCUAUUCCCUUCCUUUUCCCGCACAUACCUCAACGCAUUCGUUGGAGCGAGAGGCGACACUAGCGCCCUUGAGUCGUGUGUGCAACAUAACAAACAAAUCAAUGGCUGACAACGCGCGCGAGAGCUCACGUCUCUCUCCGAUACAAAAAUCGAUAUUGAGUGGAAAACUGGUGUGAUUUGUGUUGAACUUUAUUUGUGGCAGUGCUCCUCGUACAAGAAAUCGCCGUAGAAGACAACAGACGUUGGAUUUCGACCGAGAUGGCCUAACGAAGUUGAAAAAGGCGAUAAAAGCAAUACAUAACUCUGGAAAUGGUAAG